rnacentral:rRNA from 1 species
GGAAGUAAAAGUCGUAACAAGGUUUCCGUAGGUGAACCUGCGGAAGGAUCAUUAACGAGUUUUGAAACGAGUUGUAGCUGGCCUUCCGAGGCAUGUGCACGCUCUGCUCAUCCACUCUACCCCUGUGCACUUUACUGUAGGUUGGCGUGGGCUCCUUUGCGGGAGCAUUCUGCCGGCCUAUGUAUACUACAAACACUUUAAAGUAUCAGAAUGUAAACGCGUCUAACGCAUCUAUAAUACAACUUUUAGCAACGGAUCUCUUGGCUCUCGCAUCGAUGAAGAACGCAGCGAAAUGCGAUAAGUAAUGUGAAUUGCAGAAUUCAGUGAAUCAUCGAAUCUUUGAACGCACCUUGCGCUCCUUGGUAUUCCGAGGAGCAUGCCUGUUUGAGUGUCAUGGAAUUCUCAACUUAUAAAUCCUUGUGAUCUAUAAGCUUGGACUUGGAGGCUUGCUGGCCCUUGCGGUCGGCUCCUCUUGAAUGCAUUAGCUUGAUUCCGUACGGAUCGGCUCUCAGUGUGAUAAUUGUCUACGCUGUGACCGUGAAGUGUUUUGGCGAGCUUCUAACCGUCCAUUAGGACAACUUUUUAACAUCUGACCUCAAAUCAGGUAGGACUACCCGCUGAACUUAAGCAUAUCAAUAAGCGGAGGA